rnacentral:rRNA from 1 species
AACGAACGCUGGCGGCAGGCCUAACACAUGCAAGUCGAGCGAGGUAGCAAUACCUAGCGGCGGACGGGUGAGUAACGCGUGGGAACGUACCCUUUGCUACGGAAUAGCCCCCGGGAAACUGGGAGUAAUACCGUAUGUGCCCUUCGGGGGAAAGAUUUAUCGGCAAAGGAUCGGCCCGCGUUGGAUUAGGUAGUUGGUGGGGUAAUGGCCUACCAAGCCGACGAUCCAUAGCUGGUUUGAGAGGAUGAUCAGCCACACUGGGACUGAGACACGGCCCAGACUCCUACGGGAGGCAGCAGUGGGGAAUCUUAGACAAUGGGCGCAAGCCUGAUCUAGCCAUGCCGCGUGAGUGAUGAAGGCCUUAGGGUUGUAAAGCUCUUUCAGAUGGGAAGAUAAUGACGGUACCAUCAGAAGAAGCCCCGGCUAACUCCGUG